rnacentral:Y_RNA from 1 species
AGCUGGUCUGAUGGUAGUGGGUUAUCAGAGUGUAUCAACAUUAGUGCCACAAAAGUUGGUAUACAACCCCCACUGCUAAAUUCAACUGGCUAGAA